rnacentral:rRNA from 1 species
AGCGAACGCUGGCGGCAGGCUUAACACAUGCAAGUCGAGCGGGCCCUUCGGGGUCAGCGGCGGACGGGUGAGUAACGCGUGGGAACGUGCCUUCUGGUUCGGAAUAACUCAGGGAAACUUGAGCUAAUACCGGAUACGCCCUUUUGGGGAAAGGUUUACUGCCGGAAGAUCGGCCCGCGUCUGAUUAGCUAGUUGGUGGGGUAACGGCCUACCAAGGCGACGAUCAGUAGCUGGUCUGAGAGGAUGAUCAGCCACACUGGGACUGAGACACGGCCCAGACUCCUACGGGAGGCAGCAGUGGGGAAUAUUGGACAAUGGGCGCAAGCCUGAUCCAGCCAUGCCGCGUGAGUGAUGAAGGCCUUAGGGUUGUAAAGCUCUUUUAUCCGGGACGAUAAUGACGGUACCGGAGGAAUAAGCCCCGGCUAACUUCGU